rnacentral:lncRNA from 1 species
UCAAGAAUAAAGGUUCUCUUCAGUUUGAAGACAAAUGGGAUUUUAUGCGCCCGAUUGUUUUGAAGCUUUUACGCCAGGAAUCUGUUACAAAACAGCAGUGGUUUGAUCUGUUUUCGGAUGUGCAUGCAGUCUGUCUUUGGGAUGAUAAAGGCCCAGCAAAAAUUCAUCAGGCUUUAAAAGAAGAUAUUCUUGAGUUUAUUAAGCAAGCACAGGCAG